GUCAGGAGGAGGAGAUUUCUGUAACUCUCUGUAUGUGUGUAUAAAAGCUCUGUCGAAAAAUAUAGCAAUUUGCAAUCUCUAAUACAGCAUAUAUCGUGUCUGUGUUAUAAAUUGACCGACCGGUGUGGGGGUUAAAAUAUCCAACUGUCCAAGGUCCAGCCUAGGCAACAGAACCAGAACCGAACCUAACAGAACUGGUACCAGAAGUGGGGUACUGAUUGACCAGAUCCAACUCACCCCUUUAUACCUGAGAUGAGGUAUUGGUUAAGCAAUUGGCCGUGAGGAGAAAGACAGGCCCCAUUUACCAAGGUCCAUAUACGGUGGAAAAGGUCCCUUGAAGAUAAAGACCCCAGAAGCCCCGAUGGCUCCCCCCUUGGAGCGAGGGCU